CGAAAGCGUGGGUAGCAAACAGGAUUAGAUACCCUGGUAGUCCACGCCCUAAACGAUGCAUAUUUGGUGUGGGCAGUUCAUUCUGUCUGUGCCGGAGCUAACGCGUUAAAUAUGCCGCCUGGGGAGUACAGUCGCAAGGCUGAAACUCAAAGGAAUUGACGGGGGCCCGCACAAGCGGUGGAGCAUGUGGUUCAAUUCAACGCAACGCGAAGAACCUUACCUGGGCUCGAACGGCCGGUCAACGGCGUUGGAAACAGCGCUACCCCGCAAGGGGGUCCGGUCGAGGUGCUGCAUGGCUGUCGUCAGCUCGUGUCGUGAGAUGUUGGGUUAAGUCCCGCAACGAGCGCAGCCCUUGUCCUGUGUUGCCAUGCCGAAAGGCGGAACUCGCAGGAGACCGCCAGCGAUAAGCUGGAGGAAGGUGGGGAUGACGUCAAGUCCUCAUGGCCUUUAUGUCCAGGGCUACACACGUGCUACAAUGGCCGGUACAAAGCGCCGCAAACCCGCGAGGGGGAGCCAAUCGCACAAAACCGGUCUCAGUUCGGAUUGCAGGCUGCAACUCGCCUGCAUGAAGCUGGAAUCGCUAGUAAUGGCAGAUCAGCACGCUGCCGUGAAUACGUUCCCGGGCCUUGUACACACCGCCCGUCACAUCACGAAAGUGGAUUGUACUAGAAGUCUGCGGGCUGACCCGCAAGGGGGGCAGCGGCCCAAGGUAUGAUCCAUGAUUGGGGUGAAGUCGUAACAAGGUAGCCGUA
rnacentral:rRNA from 1 species